UGGAGCAUAGAUUAAUUGGUAGAGCAGCGGUCUCCAAAACCAUCAGUAUAGGUUCAAUCCCCAUUGUUCGUAGCA
rnacentral:tRNA from 2 species